rnacentral:rRNA from 1 species
UUAAUUGAAGAGUUUGAUCAUGGCUCAGAUUGAACGCUGGCGGCAGGCCUAACACAUGCAAGUCGAGCGGCAGCACAGAGGAACUUGUUCCUUAGGUGGCGAGCGGCGGACGGGUGAGUAAUGCCUGGGAAAUUGCCCGGUAGAGGGGGGUAACCAUUGGAAACGAUGGCUAAUACCGCAUAACCUCGCAAGAGCAAAGCAGGGGACCUUCGGGCCUUGCGCUA